UACGUAGGGUGCGAGCGUUUAAUCAGAAUUACUGGGCGUAAAGCGUGCGCAGGCGGUUUUGUAAGACAGGCGUGAAAUCCCCGGGCUCAACCUGGGAAUGGCGCUUGUGACUGCAAAGCUGGAGUGCGGCAGAGGGGGAUGGAAUUCCGCGUGUAGCAGUGAAAUGCGUAGAUAUGCGGAGGAACACCGAUGGCGAAGGCAAUCCCCUGGGCCUGCACUGACGCUCAUGCACGAAAGCGUGGGGAGCAAACAGG
rnacentral:rRNA from 1 species